CUCCAUCUCUCUGUGUGUGUGCGCCUCACUCUCUGUCUGUCUGUCUCUCUCUCUCUCUAUCGUCUUGUCUCUGCUAUCUCGCUGUGCACUUCUCUGUCUCUCUCCUCUUUCAGUGUCUCUUUGGUCUUUGUGUGUGUGUGUGCCCCUCUCUGUCUCUGCCUCCCUCUGUGUGUGCUUCUGCCUUUCUCUCUCUCCGUCGCUCCCUGUGACCGUCGACCCCCCACCCCCUCUGCACCGCCCCUCCCCCCGCCUUUUCCUCCAUCUCUCUUACUCUCUAUCCGAGCCUCUCCACCCGCUCAGCAGGGAGCGUUGUGAGUUUCUUUCGAACAAAGUUUAAAGAUCUCUGUUUGAACCCAAGCCAUCCGCAAUCAGACUGCAUUUCUAAUCCCCCCCCCCCGCCCUCUCUCUCUCACACACACACACACAGUCUGUCUCUUUCUCCCUUUCAGUCAAUCCCCUUCCUCUCUUGGUCCUACUCAAGCCUUUUCCCACCCCCGACUCUGCCUCGGCGAUGAGUCCGCUGUCUGGAUCCCUUUUCCCAGGCGUGGGCUGAGGACCCAGCGGUUCGGCAGCGGGGAUCAUCGCACCACGCUCCCGGACCCCUACAACCUCCUGUUCUCCAGCGGCCUCCAGCAUGACCACCGGGCUGGGAGCAGGCAUCCGGGCUGCCGGAGCGCUCGCUGCUCAGUGGCUCAGCCCUGCGCCGCCUUUGCCGGGAGCGGGGAUCCGAGGUGGGAGAAGGCCUCUUCGCCCGGCUCCUGGGCACAGCUACCUGCCUGAACAGCUGCCUGGCACCGAGCCUGCGCUCCCCGAGCACCCGGCCGCGGGUCCGCGACGCCUUCCGGGGCUGAGUAGCCGAAAACUAUCUCCUACUGCAAGGGUAAGGACUGCCUGCAAAAUCUGAGAUUGGGCUUUGAAAGACAUCAACCUUUGCUUGCGAGAGAUAAUGGUAACUGCAGAUGCUAGAGAAUGCGAGAUAACAAUGUGUGGAGCUGGAUGAACACAGCAGGCCAAGCAGCAUCUCAGGAGCACAAAAGCUGACAUUUCGGGCCUCGACCCUUCAUGCGAGAGAACGUAACGUUUUUAAAGAAGAAAUUGCCCCAGUCAAACAAGAAGUCAAAAUAUUAAAUGAUCUGGCCAGUCAAUUAUCUCCGCUUGAUGUCUCUUUCUCUCCAAAGAUUUCUCACCAGCUUGACGACCUAAAUAUGAGGUUGAAAUUUAUACAGCAGCAGGAGGUGAGGAGGCAGAGACUGCAACCCUGAGGUCACGGAGGGAAGGUAAAGAGGCUCUUACUUGGAGAUUGAGAAGCAGGAGAGGGCACAACCCAGAGGUUUGGGAGUGGAGAGAGGCUGCAAGUUGGAGGUCAAGGUGAGGAGAGGCACCAGUUGAUGUUGUAGAUUAAAUGUAAUACAGAAAAUUGUGAAGUUUGGUUCGAAAAACAGUACAUAAAACAGAAGGAACCAUUCUAAAUGGGUGCAGAAGCAGACCGGUUUUGCUGUUCUGUGCAUAAACCAUUCAGUUAAACCACAGCUAGUCUGAG